UGGAUAUGAUGACUGAUUACCUGAGAAAUGUGAUGAAAUCUCAAGAGAAUUCCUCUAGAUAGUCAAGUUCUGAUCCAG